AGUUUGAUCCUGGCUCAGAUUGAACGCUGGCGGCAUGCCUUACACAUGCAAGUCGAACGGCAGCACGGGGGCAACCCUGGUGGCGAGUGGCGAACGGGUGAGUAAUACAUCGGAACGUGUCCUGUAGUGGGGGAUAGCCCGGCGAAAGCCGGAUUAAUACCGCAUACGCUCUACGGAGGAAAGGGGGGGAUCUUCGGACCUCUCGUUAUAGGGGCGGCCGAUGGCAGAUUAGCUAGUUGGUGGGGUAAAGGCCUACCAAGGCGACGAUCUGUAGCUGGUCUGAGAGGACGACCAGCCACACUGGGACUGAGACACGGCCCAGACUCCUACGGGAGGCAGCAGUGGGGAAUUUUGGACAAUGGGCGCAAGCCUGAUCCAGCAAUGCCGCGUGUGUGAAGAAGGCCUUCGGGUUGUAAAGCACUUUUGUCCGGAAAGAAAACCUCGGCCCUAAUAUGGUGGGGGGAUGACGGUACCGGAAGAAUAAGCACCGGCUAACUACGUGCCAGCAGCCGCGGUAAUACGUAGGGUGCAAGCGUUAAUCGGAAUUACUGGGCGUAAAGCGUGCGCAGGCGGUCCGCUAAGACAGAUGUGAAAUCCCCGGGCUUAACCUGGGAACUGCAUUUGUGACUGGCGGGCUAGAGUAUGGCAGAGGGGGGUAGAAUUCCACGUGUAGCAGUGAAAUGCGUAGAGAUGUGGAGGAAUACCGAUGGCGAAGGCAGCCCCCUGGGCCAAUACUGACGCUCAUGCACGAAAGCGUGGGGAGCAAACAGGAUUAGAUACCCUGGUAGUCCACGCCCUAAACGAUGUCAACUGGUUGUCGGGUCUUCAUUGACUUGGUAACGUAGCUAACGCGUGAAGUUGACCGCCUGGGGAGUACGGUCGCAAGAUUAAAACUCAAAGGAAUUGACGG
rnacentral:rRNA from 1 species